AUGGUACUUUCUUCCUGCUCUUUAACAUGGACUUCACCCUCUUUAUCCCAUAAGCUAAACUUGCCACAUUCAAAUCGUUUGCUUCGAAAUACUUCAACUUCAUCUUCCAACAAUGUCUCUUGUGCAAUGGAAACAUCUUCGAGUUCAGAAAGUAAGAGCCUGAGAAGACCUCUAUUGUUGGGUAUAGGAGCAUUAGCAGCAAAUUUGCAACCAACAAAAUUACUCUUUGCUGAUGAUAUAGAGCUUUUGUCGACUUUACAGACGGAUAUUCGUACGUUUAUCCCUCGGAUUGGAAAGAAUUUGACUUCACAGCUCAUGAUUCUGCAUUCAAAGAUAGGUAUUUGCAGUUACAAAAUGUAA
rnacentral:lncRNA from 1 species